UACGUAGGGUGCGAGCGUUGUCCGGAAUUACUGGGCGUAAAGAGCUCGUAGGUGGCCAACUAAGUCAGACGUGAAAUCCCCAGGCUCAACUUGGGAACUGCGUCUGAUACUGGAUGGCUUGAAUUCGGGAGAGGGAUGCAGAACUCCAGGUGUAGCGGUGAAAUGCGUAGAUAUCUGGAGGAAUACCGGUGGCGAAGGCGGCAUCCUGGACCGAUAUUGACACUGAUGAGCGAAAGCUAGGGGAGCAAACGGG
rnacentral:rRNA from 1 species